rnacentral:rRNA from 1 species
GACGAACGCUGGCGGCGUGCUUAACACAUGCAAGUCGAACGAAGUGGCGAACGGGUGAGUAACGCGUAAUCAACCUGCCCUUCAGAGGGGGACAACAGUUGGAAACGACUGCUAAUACCGCAUACUGAAGGAGGGGAUUGCGUCUGAUUAGCUAGUUGGGGGGGUAACGGCCCACCAAGGCAAAGAUCAGUAGGCGGUCCGGGAGGAUGAACGGGCACAUUGGGACUGGGACACGGGCCAGAACCCUACCGGAGGGAGCCGGGGGGAAUCGUCCGCAAUGGACGAAAGUCUUACGGGGCAACGCCGCGUGAGUGAUGAAGGCCUUCGGGUUGUAAAGCUCUGUUAAUCGGGACGCGGUACCGAAAUAGAAAGCCACGGCUAACUACGUGCCAGCAGCCGCGGUAAUUC